rnacentral:rRNA from 1 species
UGUUGUUGAGGAAGAUAAUGACGGUACUCAACAAGGAAGUGACGGCUAACUACGUGCCAGCAGCCGCGGUAAAACGUAGGUCACAAGCGUUGUCCGGAAUUACUGGGUGUAAAGGGAGCGCAGGCGGGAGAACAAGUUGGAAGUGAAAUCCAUGGGCUCAACCCAUGAACUGCUUUCAAAACUGUUUUUCUUGAGUAGUGCAGAGGUAGGCGGAAUUCCCGGUGUAGCGGUGGAAUGCGUAGAUAUCGGGAGGAACACCAGUGGCGAAGGCGGCCUACUGGGCACCAACUGACGCUGAGGCUCGAAAGUGUGGGUAGCAAACAGGAUUAGAUACCCUGGUAGUCCACACCGUAAACGAUGAUUACUAGGUGUUGGAGGAUUGACCCCUUCAGUGCCGCAGUUAACACAAUAAGUAAUCCACCUGGGGAGUACGACCGCAAGGUUGAAACUCAAAGGAAUUGACGGGGGCCCGCACAAGCAGUGGAGUAUGUGGUUUAAUUCGACGCAACGCGAAGAACCUUACCAAGUCUUGACAUCCCUUGACGAUGCUGGAAACAGUAUUUCUCUUCGGAGCAAGGAGACAGGUGGUGCAUGGUUGUCGUCAGCUCGUGUCGUGAGAUGUUGGGUUAAGUCCCGCAACGAGCGCAACCCUUAUGGUCAGUUACUACGCAAGAGGACUCUGGCCAGACUGC